GUAAAUGCACAUAAAAAUUGCUUGCUCAAGUGUUGUUACAUCACUGGUUCACUGACCUGUCCGUAUUGACAUUUUACCAAACAGCUAGUGUCCCUGAACGGUGGCCGGCGGUUCCCGGCUUUCACAUCAGAUCCUGGUCGCUUCACGCCGCCGCCGCCGCCGCCGCAACAAAGGAGAUCCUUCAGUAUGCUGAUGAAAGGAGUUGCACCAAUUCCAAGGCCAAUAAGAAAAAGGAUGUCGUAUUUCUUGUAAUUUUGAGCUGGUGCACCGAAAGGGCCAUCAACAAAGAUCUUGGGGAAUCUAAAUGAAGAAAGCCAAGUCACCAAGGUGCAGAGGUGAUGGAGAAGGGAUGCCUGUAAACAUUGAAGAAAUUUUGAAGCCAAAAGCCUUGGAAAGCUCGUGACUUGGAAAAUAUGGAUGAUGGGAUGGUACCAUUCAAAAGGCGAAACGUCUGGGCAUUUUACAAAGAGGAUCUAUAGCUUACCUUGAUGACGGUCACUCCAUAAUUCUUCUCACGGACUCUUCUGGUAGCUCUCUCGCUGGCAUAGAAGAUAACAGGAACCGCUAUGUACAUCCAUCCCUGUGGAAGCACAUCCAAAGUUACAACUUCAAUUGAUGCACAUUCAUAAAUUCAUAACUAGUCUUGCCAAACAUAAUUGAGAGCAA